AGAGGAAAUAGUAAAGUUACUGCUAAUAACUUUCUGUCAGUUAACUCUGACUUCUUCUU
rnacentral:tRNA from 2 species